rnacentral:misc_RNA from 1 species
ACUUUCUACUUAAACUUACCAAAAACAGUAUCUUUUGAUAGAUAAGCUAUCAUGCCAUGGUUAGACAAACAUGGUUAGAUAAAUUAUGCACAGUUUCAAUUGCUAUUCCUUAGUCCUAAGCUUCAAGAAUCAGGAUAAGCAAAUGAUAUCCUUGUUUACAAAGCAAGAAAUCAUUUUAAAGCCAAAUUUUCCAGAAAUAAAGCCCAGAGACAAACCAAAAAUUAUAAAGUCAGAUACAUGUUCUCUAAGUUCCACCAACAUGAAAAACAACUUGAGUCUCAGACUACAAAUUGCAUGUUUCUCACAGAUUUUAACAAGUGAUAUUGUUGGACUGGAGGACCCAAAAGUACAACCAAUUAGAAGCUCAACUUCAGAACCUACUUGAGGACUAUGCUCAAAGACAACUUAAUCAAGCAAAAUGAGUCAUCAAACUAAGAGUUGCACAGGGAAUUGAUCAAACCAGAACUUAAACUCAGGAAGGC